UAUGUAGGGUGGAACAUAGUAAUGAUGUGGUGAUAUGUAGGGUGGAACAUAGUAAUGAGGUGGUGAUAUGUAGGGUGGAACAUAGUAAUGAUGUGGUGAUAUGUAGGGUGGAACAUAGUAAUGAGGUGGUGAUAUGUAGGGUGGAACAUAGUAAUGAGGUGGUGAUAUGUAGGGUGGAACAUAGUAAUGAGGUGGUGAUAUGUAGGGUGGAACAUAGUAAUGAGGUGGUGAUAUGUAGGGUGGAACAUAGUAAUGAGGUGGUGAUAUGUAGGGUGGAACAUAGUAAUGAUGUGGUGAUAUGUAGGGUGGAACAUAGUAAUGAGGUGGUGAUAUGUAGGGUGGAACAUAGUAAUGUGGUGGUGAUAUGUAGGGUGGAACAUAGUAAUGAGGUGGUGAUAUGUAGGGUGGAACAUAGUAAUGAGGUGGUGAUAUGUAGGGUGGAACAUAGUAAUGAGGUGGUGAUAUGUAGGGUGGAACAUAGUAAUGAGGUGGUGAUAUGUAGGGUGGAACAUAGUAAUGAUGUGGUGAUAUGUAGGGUGGAACAUAGUAAUGAGGUGGUGAUAUGUAGGGUGGAACAUAGUAAUGAUGUGGUGAUAUGUAGGGUGGAACAUAGUAAUGAUGUGGUGAUAUGUAGGGUGGAACAUAGUAAUGAGGUGGUGAUAUGUAGGGUGGAACAUAGUAAUGAGGUGGUGAUAUGUAGGGUGGAACAUAGUAAUGAUGUGGUGAUAUGUAGGGUGGAACAUAGUAAUGAGGUGGUGAUAUGUAGGGUGGAACAUAGUAAUGAGGUGGUGAUAUGUAGGGUGGAACAUAGUAAUGAGGUGGUGAUAUGUAGGGUGGAACAUAGUAAU